rnacentral:rRNA from 1 species
CCUACGGGUGGCAGCAGUGGGGAAUAUUGGACAAUGGGCGAAAGCCUGAUCCAGCCAUGCCGCGUGUGUGAAGAAGGCCUUCGGGUUGUAAAGCACUUUCAGUGGGGAAGAAAGCCUUGGGGCUAAUACCCUCGAGGAAGGACAUCACCCACAGAAGAAGCACCGGCUAACUCCGUGCCAGCAGCCGCGGUAAUACGGAGGGUGCGAGCGUUAAUCGGAAUUACUGGGCGUAAAGCGCGCGUAGGCGGUCUGAUAAGCCGGUUGUGAGAGCCCCGGGCUCAACCUGGGAACGGCAUCCGGAACUGUCAGGCUAGAGUGCAGGAGAGGAAGGUAGAAUUCCCGGUGUAGCGGUGAAAUGCGUAGAGAUCGGGAGGAAUACCAGUGGCGAAGGCGGCCUUCUGGACUGACACUGACGCUGAGGUGCGAAAGCGUGGGUAGCAAACAGGAUUAGAUACCCCAGUAGUC